CCGGAGGUGACGGUGAAAAUUAGGCUAAGGCUACUCAUUUCGAAAGAAAACAGUUGCGCUAUGCCCUCUGCUGAGAUAGUAUCAUGCGUAAUGCCUUGAAAUCAGGGAAGAUCAGAUGCGCCUUGCUUUCAAGGUUGAUUUAGGUGCGCCCAGGCACGAUUUAAACAACAUUUCAUGUAGGCAGCGUCAUCGACUCGGAUACAUCUGAAGACCCACCUUGACGAGCGUUGUUUCUUAAAGCCACAGUAACGCAGCUGUGUAGUUUUUGAGGUUGGGCCCCACAUUACCUACCUCGUGCAGCCGAACUGACAGCUGUUCGAGACAUCAUCACGGCAAGCACACUUGUUAGCCUGAUUUGACCAUUAAUAAUAUGUUUCUGGGAUAAUGGUCUACAAUCCGAGGGAUAACCAUUAGGGAUACACUGUACCCCAAUACCGCGUCAACACUUCAGGACCAUGGUUAGCGCCAUGGUUAACGCUUCCAGACCAGUCGCCGUAUGGAACACUGACCAGGACCGGAAUUUGGAGCUGUUCAUAAUUCUCUCCACCCUGACUAUGGCUGAAGAAAAACAGCACAGCAGCACAAUGCUGCCACCACCAUACUUCUUCACUUUAGGACAGUUGAAGAUGGUGACAGGAAGCGAACAGGACAGAGAGACGGGGGAGGAUCAGGAAAUUACCCCAGCCCGACUCAACCGGGGUGCCCGUGGGUGGGCAUGCAAGCCCAAAUGUGGGGGGUUUAGCGCGCUGCGCCACAGCGCCCCUAAUUUUUUUUUUCCACAAGUGCACAGGACAUGCUGUAGCACACAGACUUCCCUCUCCUGAUGUCCUGUUAUUACAUUAAGUCAGAAGCACAUUUUGUUUUAAACCUGACAGGGAAUCACUUCCUUCGUUAAAUAAAAAUGACUAAAAUUGA